rnacentral:Y_RNA from 1 species
GACAGGUGUGAAGAUAGUGGGUUAUCUCAAUUGAUUGUUCACAGUUACAGAUCAAACUGCUUGUUCUAUAAUUUCCCCCUUCUCACUGAUGUACUUGACUAGUCUUAA